GGUAAUGUGGCCGAGAUUAUGCGGCGAGUUGUACCCCUCGUAACCGGGGGCAGACCUCGCAGUACCAGGCC
rnacentral:tRNA from 1 species